rnacentral:rRNA from 1 species
CCGAUGCGGCGGCGUGCGUGCGUUCGCGCGCGUACCGUCGUCGCACGGCCUCCGCUCGCGCGCGUCCGCGGACGGCGUGCACUUCUCUCUUAGUAAGACAUCGCGACCCGUUCGGCGUCGGCCUAAGCGCCGCCCGGGAGCCCCUCGGCACUUCGCUGCCGGGGGACCGAGGCGGUUGCCGGCCGGCCGCCGGACGGUAUAAUACUUGAAACGCGCACGCGCUUCGGCGCGUCCGGCCCGACGCAAGGUCGCGUCGUAUCCGGAGUCCUGCCUCUGUGCGGUCUCUGGUGCGGCGCGCCUGUCUGUCGCAGCCGUGCUGUCUCGGACCGUGCGCGUCUCGGUCGGCGAUGAUUAUGUUUCGGGCACUCGCAGGACCCGUCUUGAAACACGGACCAAGGAGUCUAGCAUGUGUGCGAGUCAUUGAGAUUUAUAAAACUUAAAGGCGCAACGAAAGUGAAGGCGCGCGCUCGCCGCGCGCUCGGGGAGGAUGGAGGUCGAUCUCGCGUCGGCCACCCGCACUCCCGAGGCGUCUCGUUCGCAAUUUGUCGAUGCAGGCGCGCUCAGAGCACAAAUGCUGGGACCCGAAAGAUGGUGAACUAUGCCUGGUCAGGUCGAAGUC